UGGCGACAUUGUCAAAAAUAUGGAGUUUGCCAAGAAGGAAAAAGGAAUUGCACAUGACUUAUGAGUGAUUAUGUUAAAAGGCUUUUAAUAAACAAAUUGUCAAGAAAAAAAUACCAGCACAGUACUAACACAGUAAAAAUAAAUACUAGCAAUUUUUUGGAUAAAAAAACGGUAGCCCUUUUAUAUUUGAAGACUUUCACACGGUCAAAACACUGACACCUCAUGCUACACGUGGUUGCUCUCUGUUUUUAUCUCUGCUACAUAUCUCUUCUUUUGUUGCUAGAUAACUCAUGUUUCUUUUUGAGUGAAAUCUGCUCUUACGUGCCCGGUUUUCAUCACAACCACACCAUUCAUGUAUAACAUCUCCAAACAUGUAUUAGUAAAUGAAACAACAACACGUCUUCAUCAGUGCACUUUGACCUUGACCCGUCGGCUCUAAAGCAUGCAAAUCAAGGAUCCUACGGGUCUUAUGUACAGGAGUGAGCCUUCUCUCUCAUCCAAUGGGGAGUCACACCCCGCUGCUACUCGCCUCGAUGGAGGGGCGAGGUCAUGAGACUUAGAGGGGAUGGACCAGGGGAUAGAUGGUGUCUCCAGGCUGACAGAAGAGGGGAUGGACCAGGGGAUAGAUGGUGUCUCCAGGCUGACAGCAGAGGGGAUGGAUCAGGGGAUAGAUGGUGUCUCCAGGCUGACAGCAGAGGGGAUGGAUCAGGGGAUAGAUGGUGUCUCCAGGCUGACAGCAGAGGGGAUGGACCAGGGGAUAGAUGGUGUCUCCAGGCUGGACAGCAAAGUGUUUGAUAAGCUAAAAUCGACAAAUGACAGUGUCUACUCUAUCUAGUUCUACUUUUUUUCAGUCAGAAAGUCUUAACUGAACAACAGUACAACAUCUGAGCUCCGGAUCAUGUGAUAUCUCCUGCUCCAUCUAUCCAUGUGGUGGUGUCUCCUUCUCCAUCCCUCCAUGUGGUGGUGUCUCCUGGUCCAUCCCUCCAUGUGGUGGUGUCUCCUGGUCCAUCCCUCCAUGUGGUGGUGUCUCCUGGUCCAUCCCUCCAUGUGGUGGUGUCUCCUCCAUCCCUCCAUG
ensembl:lncRNA